rnacentral:snRNA from 1 species
UAGCAUUUUGUGCUUGACUAUACUAAAAUUGUAAUGAUACAGAGAAGAUUAGCAUGGCCCCUGGGCAAGGAUGACAUGAAAAUUCUUGAAGUAUUCUAUAGAAUA